rnacentral:rRNA from 1 species
AUUGGACGCUGGCGGCAGGCCUAACACAUGCAAGUCGAGCGGAUGAGGAGAGCUUGCUCUCUGAUUUAGCGGCGGACGGGUGAGUAAUGCCUAGGAAUCUGCCUGAUAGUGGGGGAUAACGUUCCGAAAGGAACGCUAAUACCGCAUACGUCCUACGGGAGAAAGCAGGGGACCUUCGGGCCUUGCGCUAUCAGAUGAGCAUAGGUCGGAUUAGCUAGUUGGUGAGGUAAUGGCUCACCAAGGCUACGAUCCGUAACUGGUCUGAGAGGAUGAUCAGUCACACUGGAACUGAGACACGGUCCAGACUCCUACGGGAGGCAGCAGUGGGGAAUAUUGGACAAUGGGCGAAAGCCUGAUCCAGCCAUGCCGCGUGUGUGAAGAAGGUCUUCGGAUUGUAAAGCACUUUAAGUUGGGAGGAAGGGCAGUAAGUUAAUACCUUGCUGUUUUGACGUUACCGACAGAAUAAGCACCGGCUAACUUCGUGCCAGCCGCCGCCGUAAUAC